AGAACCUGGAGUUCCACCGUGGCUCUUACAGUCUCAGCCAUGGUUGCAUACCUUCCAAGCUCCACCGCCUCUUCUUCCUCGUGGGCAGAUCCCUGAUUUUGUGUAGGACAGCACUUGAAAUGUAUUUGUGUGCUCAACAUUGGUUUCCUCUCUGGAACCUGGGAUCACUUCAGGGGUGGACACGUGGCCCAACCAUGACUGAUGAGACAUGCGGGGAAAUCUGCAGAGGCAACUUCUAGGAAAGGUUGGGCUCUUGCAGCCACCCUGUGACUAUGAGAAAAAUGGAACAGCAAUUGCAAAACCAGCAGCUGGAGAAUGGGCAGCCCAGUGAGGAAAGAUCAAUGGGAGAAAGGCUUGUAACUUUCUCCCAUUUUCUAGAAAUUUGUGACUUUCUAGAAAACGAAGCCAGUCUCAACAGUGCCUCCAAGGACCUGAAGCUUCUCCAAGUGCUGUUUUGAAUGGGAAGGCAGGAGUCGGAACUGGCCAUCCAGGACUGUCUACAUGGCCUCUCUCUCUUCUCAUCUUCCUCUAAGAAAUUUCUCCAGUUUUUCAAUCUUGACCUCUCAGAAAAAAGAGAUUCUGAUCUUGUGAACUGAUGCUGCAUGUUGAAUGAGUUUUCAUCCUGCAUGAUACUUCAUGGAUUUAUUUGCAUUUUAAUUAUUCUUUUAUACAAAAGAGCCAUAGAAAAGAAAAGUCUGACCCAAGUUUUGUCAAGAUAAAGCAGAGUAUGGGAAGUGGGCAACUGUGAGAACUUGGUUAGAGCCAGUCUGUAUAGUUUAGUAUUUAAUGGGGAAGUUUGGGGUGUGGGAAAUGGGACCUAUUUCCUUUGCUCUUGAGGUUAGGUUGAGCCAUCUGGCUCCCUGCCCUGCAGUUCCCAUAACUGAAGAGUUAUACAUCCCAUAACCCCUGCCCACUAGUGAACCCCUUCCUCAGCUCUGGGACUGAUUGUCUUCAAGCUGAGCACACACUGAGCACUGGGCCUGCCUUCUUCCUAACACAGGUUAGGACUGACUUCUUGCUUUGUCCUUUAACUUGAGUCCCCAGCCCACACCCCUGACAUGUGGCUUUUCUCUCUCUCCUGCCGUGCUGCUCCUGGGCUGGCACCUAGGCUCCUGAGACAGGGGAUUUCUGCCUUGUAAUCCCACUGGCUUUCUAGGGCUGGAGUCCUUGGCUACCUGUUCAUUUAUUUAUUAAUUCAUUCAUCCAUCUAGGUUUUUGUAAGCUCCAGACAUUGGAUAAAGCAUUUUGAGGGAUAGGUGAAAACGAAAUCCUGCCCUUUACUCUUGAGAACUCACUCUGCUGUGGGAGGAGAGACAGGCAGACCUCAGUCUACUGACAGCAUGAACAGAAAGAGAGGGUCUCUUUCUGCUGGUGCUUCGGUUUGAGAACCAGUGCUCCUGACUUUGGUUGGCCAUUGGUGUCUGUCUGAAGAGGGUCUCCACUGCCCCCAGGCAUGUUCCUUCUCUCACUGCUGCCCCCUGGGAUGGAAACUCGACAUCCCCUCUUUCCCUUCCUACUGGCACCAACGGUACCAGAGCAAACCCCACAAUCUCCAUGCCUACAUUUCUUUGACAUCCACCUGUCACCAUCUUUGGAGGAUUCAAGUGAAGUUCUUUGUCUUUUAUGGGACAGAGAUGAUUCUCCACUCCAGAGGGUCUGGAGUGAUUAUAGGAAUGUAAUCGCCUUGAACAAUCAGCGUGUUUUACAGCCUACUGCCCUGCAUUUUGUGUGGAAUGCAGUUGUCUUAUUGCUUGGAACCAGCUCUCAGUAGACCUCAGCAGCUUAUAGACAAACCCGAGUGAACUUUCCUCAUGACCAUGCUAGUGUCUCCAUCCUGGGAUGAGCCACAGCUUCAUCACCAUAACAUGCAACCUAUGUGCUGGUGUGAUGACUCGCUGUGUCUGCACCACUGAGGCUCCUCCUCCACAUGCCAUGACGCGUCCUCUCUUCUCUCCAUCUCCCCAUGAAGUCCUCCUGUCACUUUCCCUCAGGGAGACAUGGCUUUGGAGAGUACUCCCAACAGCAUGCUUAUUUGUGCCAAGUAAUAAAAC
rnacentral:lncRNA from 1 species